rnacentral:rRNA from 1 species
AUUGAACGCUGGCGGCAGGCCUAACACAUGCAAGUCGAACGGUAACAGGAAGAAGCUUGCUUCUUUGCUGACGAGUGGCGGACGGGUGAGUAAUGUCUGGGAAACUGCCUGAUGGAGGGGGAUAACUACUGGAAACGGUAGCUAAUACCGCAUAACGUCGCAAGACCAAAGAGGGGGACCUUCGGGCCUCUUGCCAUCGGAUGUGCCCAGAUGGGAUUAGCUAGUAGGUGGGGUAACGGCUCACCUAGGCGACGAUCCCUAGCUGGUCUGAGAGGAUGACCAGCCACACUGGAACUGAGACACGGUCCAGACUCCUACGGGAGGCAGCAGUGGGGAAUAUUGCACAAUGGUCGCAAGCCUGAUGCAGCCAUGCCGCGUGUAUGAAGAAGGCCUUCGGGUUGUAAAGUACUUUCAGCGGGGAGGAAGGGAGUAAAGUUAAUACCUUUGCUCAUUGACGUUACCCGCAGAAGAAGCACCGGCUAACUCCGUG